rnacentral:lncRNA from 1 species
GGCCAUACCUGCAGUAUAUGGAAGUUCCCAGGCUACAGGUCAAAUCAGAGCUGUGUCUGUGACCUACACCACAGCUUGCAGCAACGCCAGGAUCCUUAACCCACUGAGCGAGGCCAAGAAUCAAACCCGCGACCUCACGGAUACUAUACUAGCUGGACUCAUUACCGCUGAGCCACAACGGAACUCUUCGUCAGCUAUUAUUAAUAGCUAAUAAUGUGAGCAGGGAUGUAGGUCAUGAAGGUAUUAAUCCCAAUGGACUUUUGGGGUGAGAUCUUUACAAAAGCAUGCAGAGCUCUGGCUUCGUAGAAAUGGGAGUAAGUACAAGAAAGGUACUAGAACACUGGAUUACCAAAAACUCAUGAAAUUCAAAAAAGCUACUGAGAAAAAAAAAAAAAAACCAAAGAACUAUAAACCAGCUGAAGAAAAAUAAUGUCUUUAAGAGACUUGAAAAUUUUAGAAAUUCCUAAAAGUUAGAAAAGAGGGCAGUAGUGAGUGCUGGAUGGUGACUCUAAUUUAUAUUCACACGUUUGCUCAUAUUCCUCCCUUGGAGGGUGGCCCACACUUAGUGACUUGCUUCUAACAGAAGAGAAUGCACCAAAGUGAUGGCAUGUUGACCUCUGAGACUUAGUCAUAAAAGACAUUUGGGGCUUCUUCCUGCUCUUCUUGGAUCACAAGCUCUGGGGGAAUCCAACUGUCAAGCCCUGAGGAUACCGAGCAGCCCUAUGUACAUGCACAUCGGGGAGAGACGGAGGCUGAGGCUGUUUUCAAACUGCCAGCUUUAACUCACCAGUGAUAUGAGUCUGACACCAUGGAAGCAGAUUCUCCAGCCCCAGUCAAGCCUUCAGAUGAGCCCAGGCUAACCCUGUGACCUCAUGAGACUCUGAGGCAGAACUACUAGCAAGCCACUCCCAGGGUCCCAACCCACAGACAUUAAGUGUGAUAUCGUUGUUUUAAACUGAUAACUUUUAGGGUAAUUUGUUAUGCAUCAUUUGAUGGCCAAUAUUUCAUGUUUGAGCUUGAUGUUAGAUGGGACUUUUUUUUUUUUUAAGAAUUUUUGACUGCACUCAUAGCAUAUGGAAGUCCCCAAGCCAGGGAUCAAAUCCAAGCUGAAGCUGCAACUACACCACAGCUGUGGCAACGUCAGAUCCUUAACCCACUGUGUUGGGCUGGGGAUAAAACUCUCAACACCACACAGAGACAAUGCUGGAACCUUAGCGCUACACCAUAGCAGGAACUCCCAGCACUUAGAUAUUUUUAAAUAGAAAUUUCUCCUCAUCUCGACUCCCUCUUCAGGGGACAUGACACGUUAUCCCCUGCACUCUUAAGCUGGAUAGAUACAAGUUUAGGAAUAAGAUGGAGAUGGGUUGGGAGGAGAGGUUUCUCUCUUUACCCACUUCCUGAGCUUUGACUAACAGACAGCUCAUCCUGAAAUAAGCCAUGCACCUCACUCAGACAAUGGAAGAUUCGCUUUCUUUUUUACAACAUCCCUCCAAACAUAGAAAAGCAGUGAAUUUCUCAGUCUAGAAAUGCUCAGAAGUUAUACAAAGAGGCAGUCACUCGGCAGUUUAAAAGGUCUGAUUGUCUAUAGAUGUUUGACCCCGAGGCCAUAUUGUCCAGGGCUUCUAUUCUGUUUUUAUUUCUACUACAAUUUAUUGAAUUUCCUUUCAAUCUACAAAAGCUGUACUACAUACCUGUUGCAAUAAAACAACUGCUAUUGCAUAAAGAAAAUGCCAACAAUCUUCCCCAUUUCCCACCCCCAGGGCAAUCAAUGUUAAUUAUUUGUUCUGGAGUCUUUCACCCCCUUUCUCUAUGUACAUGGACAAAGACACAUGUUUUCGUUUUAUUUUUACCUGUCCUGCGCCACUUGCACUAGUUUUCAAUAUGUAUUUUUUUCACUUAAAACAUGGUCUAGGUAUUACUUUAUAUUAAUACAACUAAAUCUAGAAGUUCCCAUUGUGGUACAGCGGAAACAAAUCCGACUAGGAACCAUGAGGUUGUGGGUUCGAUCCCUGGCCUUGCUCGGUGGGGUAAGGAUCCGGUGUUGCCGUGAGCUGUGGUGCAGGUCACAGACGUGGUUCACAUCUGGCAUUGCUGUGGCUGUGGUGUAGGCCGGCAGCUGUAGCUCCAAUUUGACCCCUAGCCUGGGACCCUCCAUAUGCCACAAGUGUGGCCCUAAAUAAAAAUUAAAAAAAAUAAAUCUAAGUAAUUGUUUUGUAUAGCUACAUAAUAUUCCACGGUAUAGCUGGACUAUAAUUUAUUCAACCAUUCUACUGGUUUUUAAAAGCUUUUAUGAUUAAGAAUGUAGUAUAACCAUCCUUUUUGAUAUAUUUUUACCUCUUGGAACCUAUAGGACUUUAAAACUUAUACCUCAGUGAUUUGAGUCACUGGUAAAUUCUUUUAAGUUUUAUAAUAGUGUUUUAGCUGAUAAAACGUAGUCUUUCACAGCUCUAACACAAGUGUACAGAAGUUCUGUUUCUCCAUAUUCUUAUCAGGGCUUAGGAUGUAUAAAGUUCUGCGAUUUGGGGUAAAAACCAUAUCCCCAUACUCUUGUUGAACAUCUUUUCAUGUGUUUCGGGACACUGACUUUAUUUUUUUGCUUUUUUAGGGCCACACCCAUGGCAUUCCCAGGCUAGGGGUUAUGUCAGAGCUACAGCUGCCGGCCCACACCACAGCAAUGCAGGAUCUGAGCCAAGUCUGGGACCUACACCACAGCUCAUGGCAACACCAGAGCCUUAACCCAUUGAGUGAGGCCAGGAUCAAACCCACAACCUCAUGGUUCCUAGUCGGAUUCAUUUCCACUGCACCACAUGGGAACUCCUGACCAUUCUUUUUGUCUUCACAAAUCUUCUGAAAGCCAUGGCAAUAGAAGGCACAUAUUUUUUUUUUUUUAAUUAACAGGCUUUAGUUUUUAGAGCAGUUUUAGGUUCACAGCAAAGUUAAGCAUUGAGCAAAUUGUACAGAAAGUUCCCACAUAUCCUCCCCCCCCCCACACACAGCCUACCCCACCGAACCAACACUGACAAAUUAUCAUCAAUCUAGUUUACAUUAGAGUUAUCUCCUUGUGUUUUACAAAAUUUUAACAAAUUUAUAACAUAUACCCACCACUGUAGAAUCAUACAAAUUGUUUCACAGCCCUAAAUAAGAUCACCUGUGUCUGACCUAUUGCUUCCUCCCUCAUAACCAUAUAUAUAUAUCAUUUAUACAUACAUAUAUAUAAACUGCACACAUACUUAAAAGAGAAAGUUAGGUUCUGAAACAAUGUAGUGGAAGUGGCUCCCUGGGGCCUCAGGCUGUGCUCCCCCACCAGACGGUGCCACUGGUUGGACUCCAUGAUCUGGAGGGACCGCAGGAAGGGCUUCAGGGUCAGACAGCUUUAGACUGAGUUCUGCAAUCAAGCAGAGCCACAAGCUGUGCUCCAAAGUUGGGCAGGGCCACAGGCUGGGCUUUGCAAUCAAGUAGGUCACUAGCUCUGCUCCACCUUUGGGCAAGGUCACCGGCUAGGCUCUCUGGUCUGGUCGGACAAGGCAUCCAGUUGUAUCCAGCAGUGUGGUGAGGUGAAGACUAUUCGCCAUGGUUGGGCAGGGUGCUCUCUGAGUUACCUGGUUGGGUGGGGCAACAGGUCGUGCUCCAUAGUUGGGUGGGUUCACUGGCAGGGCUCCUGCCUGGAUGAUGCACCCAGCUAUGUUCACCAAUCACGCAGGACCACAGGCUGGGCCUGCGGCUGCCCAGGGUCACUGUUUAGGCUCCCUGGGUGUGUGAAACCAGCAGCUAUGCAGUUGAGCAGGGCUGCUGGCUUGGUUCCUGGCUGUAAGAUGAGCUCCAGAGCUUCCUGGGUUCACUGGCCAAGCCUUCCACUCUGGCAGGACUGGAGGCUACAUUAAGCAACUAGUAAAACCUAUAAUUUUGCUUCCCUGCCGGGGUUUGGCCAUAGAAUAGGCUCCAUGGCCAGUAGACCCCACUGGCUAGGCUCUGCAGAUGGGCAGAUAGAACCACUCGGGUGCUGCUGCAACAGUAAUAUGGUCCACCAAGAUCUGACUGCAUCCCUUUUCCAUCUCUAUCUGAUCCCCGGCGAUCAACCUUAUAGAUUCCCACAGAGAUCCCCACAAUGCAAGAUCUGCAUGGGCCUCCCAGGAAGUACAUCCAAAGCUGGGGGAGCUGAAGGUCCAUUUUGCUCUCCUUUCCCACUGAGGAAACUGCAGGCCCUGGGCAGCAUGGUGUUGUAUCUACAUAGGAAGGGGCCAUGCUGUCAAAGUGAAACCUCUCCUCUUCCUAUUCUAAUGCAGUCCCUUCUCUAUCUCCAUGUUCUAAGGAGCUUGCUUCAGCCUCACCCUCAGGUUCUAGGAUUUUUACGAUGGUGCCUUGUCUAUGGAUAGUUAUUAGGUGGUCUUCUUGUGAGGGGGACUAAAAGCUAGGAAUAACCUAUGCUGCCAUCCUGAUGUUGCUUCUAGGAGCUCCCAAAUCACAGCCCAGGAGGGUGGGAGUGGGUUAAUGGUCCAUUACAAAGGCCAAGGUCCGUAUGUGUAUCACUUGAUAUGUAGGUGGGCAUGACUCCCCCUGGGUCCCUUGGUGUAUGGUGCUAUGACAGAAUCAAAGCCAAACAGAGCUGCAGUAAAGUUCUCAGCGGACAGAGCUGUUUCCAGGUAUGCAGUUGGGACCAUGGACAGAGGAUCAGCCAGCUGAGAAAGAGCCUGCCUUCUCAAAAUGGGUCUCCUUGGUCUUGGACUGCAGUGGGAUUUCACCAACUCCUAACUGGAUCCCAAGCUCUCACAAAGGCACUCUUGCCUGAGGAUGGACUCCAAAUUAUUGUUGUUGAAUGGGGGAUAUAAAUGAGGGACAUCUUAUUUGGCCAUCUUGCUGGCAUCACCCUCCCCAACUUAUUUAAAUAUGAGAGCAUGACCUUACUUCAAAAUCUGGCAAGGACAACAGCAAUAUUUAAAAUCUGUAACACAUCAAAACCAUGUGGGAUUUAUUUCAGAAAUGCAAAAUUGGAUUGACACUUUAAAAUCAAUUAAUUUAUUUCACCACAAUUACAGAAAUAAAGAGAAUGACUGUAUCAUUAUCUCAAUGGAUGAAGAAAAAGCCUUUUAUGAAAUUUAGCAUCCCAUCAUGAUGAAUCUCUUAGCAAACUAACACCAUAUGAGAAUACUGAAAAUACAUUGCAGAGCACAGAUUUAUUUUGUGACAUCAUUCUGGCUGUUCAAAAUGUAUUUUGGUUUCCUCCUUAAUUUUCUUUUGCUCAGGGUAAUAAAGAACUGAUUAAUGAAGAGCUUAAUAAUUAUACAUGAAAUACCUCUGCAUAGAAAAAAAAAAGCAUUUCACAAGCUCCACAAGGCAUUUAAGAAAUUAACUGAAUUUAACAGGCAACUUGAAACAAAGCAAAAAGAAGUAUUAGAAAUAUAAGGAAGACAUUCCAACAACAAUGCCAUUCAAAUGCCAGUCAUAUUUAUUUGUGGAUGGGGCUUGGUGACACAUAACACUGCACCCAUAGCUCAAAGCUAAACUCUUUUCUGCCACCCCCUUAUUUGAGUUCCCUUCAUGGCUCAGUGGAAAUGAAUCUGACUAGAAUCCAUGGCUCAGUGGAAAUGAAACUGACUAGCAUCCAGUCUUGAUCCCUGGCCUUGCUCAGUGGGUCAAGGAUCCGGCGUUGACUUGAGCUGUGGUGUAGGUCGCAGACAUGGCUCAGAUCUGGUGUUUCUGUGGCUGAGCCAGCGGCUACAGCUCCAAUUUGACCCCUAGGCUGGGAACCUCCAUAUGUCGCAAGUGCGGCCCUGAAAAAAACAAAAAAACAAAACAAAACAAAAGGCAAUAAAAAAAAUGGCCCUUAUGGAAACCAUUCCCCUAGGAAUCCUCCUCUUGUCCCAGAAGAGUCUUGGGGUGAGCCCUACAAAAUAUCUCUGCCAUAGACCUUUCCUUGAUUGACCCAGAGACCAGCAAUGGCCCCCAAAGACUUCCUACACCAGCACUGGGGAGCACUGAAGUGGUCAAAUCAUCAGUGAUUUUGGAGACAACAUUGCAACCCCAUGGUACAAACUGUAUCCUCCAAUUCUUGGCCUAAUGAGAACUAAUUCACUGUCCUUGCUGGAAAUACUAGAAAGGAGCCUGAAGUUAAAGGAGAGGUCACUAAAGGCUCAACAACAAAGAAUUAGUUUCUGCAGAUGUUUCUCCAGCUGUAGAACCCAGCACAUGUCACAACUAAUAGGUUCUCUAGGGGACAAAAUCCCCUUCUUAUCUACCCAAAAAAGACAAAAGCAGAAAAAUAUUUACCCAUCAAAUGUCAGGUAGGAAAGAGUGGAUGGAAAAUUUUCAUUAGCAACUGCUUUCCUCCUUUGCCUGCAUGUCCUUUGACCAACUCUACCACCUCCCCUACCUGCUGAGCAGAGUCUAAGGCCAACAGCAGUGUGGGCAUAUGUAACACAGUGCCCUCACAGAGUGGUGAGCUUCUCGCCAAUAGGAACUUCUGUCACAAAGCUCAGACCUUUCAGGGUUUACGUAGGUGGAAUGGGAGGUGGAGGGGAUUACAUAGUAUCAAUAAUCUGUGAAUGAUUUUUACUUUUGCACACAGAUGCCAAGUGUCUGAGUGUCUGAAAGGGAAGAAGGAAAUGACCUUUGACUGAGAAAUCAAUGGUGGUUAAUUAUUAAAAAUAUCAGUCAUUCCAUAUAUUCCAACCUCUGUUUCCCAGAUUCCAGUAAUUACAAGACUGAGAGAAUCAUCUGAAAGCAUUCAAGUGCACGUAAGAGCCCAAACGGAGAAAGGAUGGAUAGAGCUAACAACUCAAGGUCCCAGAAGCCCAAGUUUGGAGGUCCUUGUUUCAUGCUCAAAGUUCAGUUCUGCUUAACUUCCCAUUGCCACUGCCAGGUUCUUUUUUAGCCAUGGGAAGGUCUCCCUGAACUCUGGCCUGUGGGCUGUAAGACAGAUUCCGAGGCCGUGCAUGUUUACUUCUCUUAUCCUGCUCAGAAUAGUCAUUUCCCAGAACGACACCCUCCCUUUCUCAUGAGUUCUGAGUAUAUGUAUUUAAGCAUUGUCAGGUGCAGAGGGAGGUACAAAAAAAAAUGUACCACCUAAUCUUUGGCCUCCGGGGGCUAACAAGUCCUCCGCCACUGUAAAUUAACUGUAAAUUCCCUUUUAAAGCUCCUGUCAUGCUCUUCAUUGAGCUCAAUCCCCUUUUAUCACCAUCUCCACAGACAUGGGAGAACCUCUCCUCCACUUCCUAAGAGUUAAAUUAAACAUCUGAUUCAGAGCCUUUUUUUUUCCCCCCUCUUCGCCAGGCUCACUGUGUAGAUUCACCGGCUGUGAACUCCGGUGAUCCACUUCUCAACUGUGAAGCCGAGGACUUAAGAGUAUACUGGCUGCUCCUGGUGAAAAUGUGAUUGGUCUCUCCUUCCCAUGUCUAUGGCCCCAGGGGGAGACUUGGACAGCCUUGUCCUCAGCCUGCUGGAUAUCAUUCUUUUUUCAUUUCUGGUUUGCACACCAUUCCCUCACUGCAACAUCACUGAGGGGUCUCCCAGUCUCUCCUAUGCUCAGGCCCCCAGCCUUAUUUAGCAUCCUCACACGCAGCAUGUAUCACCUCCUAAUUUAUGGAGAAGACUUAAAGGGUCUUUUUAUUUGGAACCCAAAGCCUCAUACUUUAACCCUCCCUUCUCUGGCCUCAUCUUCUCUGGAGAAAACAUAUUCCCUACCAAUGCCCCAAACCUAGAGUUAAGAAGAAAGAACCUGGGAGUUUCCAUUGUGGUGCAGCGGAAAGAAUUCAACUAGUAACCAUGAAGAUUUAGGUUCAAUCCCUGGCCUUGCUCAGUGGAUUAAGGAUCUGGCAUUGCCGUGAGCUGUGGUGUAGGUUGCAGAUACAGCUCAGAUUCUGCGUUGCUGUGCCUGUGGCUUGGCACAGGCCAAUGGUGUACGUCUGAUUUGACCCCUAGCCUGGGAACCUCCAUAUGCCGUGGGUGCAGCCCUAAAGAGCAAAAAAAAAAAAAAAAAAAAAA